CACAGAGUCCACCUGCCUGUGCCUCCAGAGUACUGGGGCUAAAGGUGUGCACCACCACCCUGCUCAUGGAGUUCUUAAGGUGAUCCUAAAAACACAGCUGUGCAGGUUCCCACUGUUUGCAACAUUGUUCCAGGUUGGUGCAAGAGAGGCAGCCUCAACUGGCCGUCCUGACCUCCUCGACUGGGCCAACCUCCACACUCUGCAGAGAUCUUGCUUCUCUAAAGCUAAAGAAGUCCGGGUUAUCCUUCAACAUGGAGCUCAGGCAUCAGCUUCUACAGAAAGACUUUCCAAAUAUCACCAAGCAACAUCCUCACUCUUGAGAGUAUGAUUAAUAAAUUAUUGGUUUUACCUGA